AGUGAACGCUGGCGGUAGGCCUAACACAUGCAAGUCGAACGGCAGCACAGUAAGAGCUUGCUCUUACGGGUGGCGAGUGGCGGACGGGUGAGGAAUACAUCGGAAUCUACUUUUUCGUGGGGGAUAACGUAGGGAAACUUACGCUAAUACCGCAUACGACCUACGGGUGAAAGCAGGGGAUCUUCGGACCUUGCGCGAUUGAAUGAGCCGAUGUCGGAUUAGCUAGUUGGCGGGGUAAAGGCCCACCAAGGCGACGAUCCGUAGCUGGUCUGAGAGGAUGAUAAGCCACGCUGGAACUGGGCCACGGUCCAGACUCCUACGGGAGGCAGCAGUGGGGAAUAUUGGGCAAUGGGGGCAAGCCUGAUCCAGUCAUCCCGCGUGGGUUAAGAAGGCCUUCGGGUUGUAAAGCCCUUUUGUUGGGAAAGAAAAGCAGCAGGUUAAUACCCCGCUGUUCUGACGGUACCCAAAGAAUAAGCACCGGCUAACUUCGUG
rnacentral:rRNA from 1 species